rnacentral:lncRNA from 1 species
AUAAUGAUUUAGUUUAUUAGCUACAUAUGGAUCUAUGUUUAAAUCUAGCAAAGUAAAGCAGUCAGAGGUUAGUUACCAACAUAUUGAAUGUGUGCCUAUACUCUAUACCACAUAAGAAAAACAAGCCACAUUCAACAAGCCACAACAAGCCACAUUCAACAAGCCACAUUCAACAAGCCACAACAAGCCACAUUCAACAAGCCACAUUCAACAAGCCACAUUAAACAAGCCACAUUCAACAAGCCACAUUCAACAAGCCACAACAAAUCACAUUCAACAAACCACAUUCAACAAGCCACAUUAAACAAGCCACAUUCAACAAGCCACAACAAGCCACAUUAAACAAGCCACAACAAGCCACAUUCAACAAGCCACAUUAAACAAGCCACAUUCAACAAGCCACAUUAAACAAGCCACAUUAAACAAGCCACAUUCAACAAGCCACAUUAAACAAGCCACAACAAGCCACAUUCAACAAGCCACAUUCAUCAAGCCACAACAAGCCACAUUAAACAAGCCACAUUCAACAAGCCACAUUAAACAAGCCACAUUCAACAAGCCACAUUCAACAAGCCACAACAAGCCACAUUCAACAAGCCACAUUAAACAAGCCACAACAAGCCACAUUCAACAAGCCACAUUCAUCAAGCCACAACAAGCCACAUUCAACAAGCCACAUUCAACAAGCCACAUUAAACAAGCCACAACAAGCCACAACAAGCCACAUUCAACAAGCCACAACAAACCACAUUCACCAAGCCACAUUCAACAAGCCACAUUAAACAAGCCACAACAAACCACAUUCAACAAGCCACAUUAAACAAGCCACAACAAGCCACAACAAGCCACAUUCAACAAGCCACAACAAACCACAUUCACCAAGCCACAUUCAACAAGCCACAUUAAACAAGCCACAACAAACCACAUUCAACAAGCCACAUUAAACAAGCCACAACAAGCCACAACGAGCCACAACAAGCCACAUUCAACAAGCCACAUUCAACAAGCCACAUUCAACAAGCCGCAACAAACCACAAGCCACAUUCAACAAGCCACAUUCAACAAGCCACAUUCAACAAGCCACAACAAACCACAUUCAACAAGCCACAUUAAAGAAGCCGCAUUAAAGAAGCCACAUUCAACAAGCCACAUUCAACAAGCCACAUUCAUCAAGCCACAACAAGCCACAUUAAACAAGCCACAUUCAACAAGCCACAUUAAACAAGCCACAUUCAACAAGCCACAACAAGCCACAUUCAACAAGCCACAUUAAACAAGCCACAACAAGCCACAUUCAACAAGCCACAUUCAUCAAGCCACAACAAGCCACAUUCAACAAGCCACAUCCAACAAGCCACAUUAAACAAGCCACAACAAGCCACAACAAGCCACAUUCAACAAGCCACAACAAACCACAUUCAACAAGCCACAUUAAACAAGCCACAACAAACCACAUUCAACAAGCCACAUUAAACAAGCCACAACAAGCCACAACAAGCCACAUUAAACAAGCCACAUUCAACAAGCCACAUUCAACAAGCCACAUUCAACAAGCCACAACAAGCCACAACAAGCCACAUUAAACAAGCCACAUUCAACAAGCCACAUUCAACAAGCCACAUUCAACAAGCCACAACAAGCCACAACAAGCCACAUUAAACAAGCCACAUUCAACAAGCCACAUUCAACAAGCCACAUUCAACAAGCCACAACAAGCCACAACAAGCCACAUUAAACAAGCCACAUUCAACAAGCCACAACAAGCCACAUUCAACAAGCCACAACAAGCCACAACAAGCCACAUUAAACAAGCCACAUUCAACAAGCCACAACAAGCCACAUUCAACAAGCCACAUAAGAUAACGAGAUGUUAUCACCAACAGGGUUUGUGAUGGCCGUCUAAAUGUCUUAGACUUCACUCUCUUUAAUCAGAUAUCAAAAAUCAACUGGGUUAAAAGGUACAUAAAAAAAUCCUAAUUGUUUCUGGAAUAUUAUAACUCAUUUAGUUUUUCAGAAGCUUGAAGGGCUUCAUUUUUUACUACAAUGCCCGUAUAUUGUGGGUAAACUUCCUGUGAAAUUGGCGGCUUUUCACAAGCAGGCUUUAAUGUGCUGGGGUUUGCUGUAUAAACACAACUUUUCACCUCAUAAAUGUUUUAUAUGGAAUAAUGGGUCAAUAUUACAAUGAAACAAAAUGUUAUUUUACUGUAACUGGUUCUCGAAAAACAUUGUCCUUGUCAGCCAAUUAGUAUUAGAAGGAAUCUAUUUACGCGG